rnacentral:rRNA from 1 species
UACGUAGGGGGCUAGCGUUGUCCGGAUUUAUUGGGCGUAAAGAGCGUGUAGGCGGCCAGGUAGGUCUGCUGUGAAAACUCGAGGCUUAACCUCGAGCUGUCGGCGAAAACUAUUUGGCUAGAGUCCGGAAGAGGAGAAUGGAAUUCCCGGUGUAGCGGUGAAAUGCGCAGAUAUCGGGAAGAACACCCGUGGCGAAGGCGGUUCUCUGGGACGGUACUGACGCUGAGACGCGAAAGCGUGGGGAGCGAACAGG